CACGUAGGGCGCGAGCGUUGUCCGGAAUUAUUGGGCGUAAAGAGCUCGUAGGCGGUCUGUCGCGUCUGCUGUGAAAUCCCGAGGCUCAACCUCGGGCUUGCAGUGGGUACGGGCAGGCUAGAGUGCGGUAGGGGAGAAUGGAACUCCUGGUGUAGCGGUGGAAUGCGCAGAUAUCAGGAAGAACACCGAUGGCGAAGGCAGUUCUCUGGGCCGUAACUGACGUUGAGGAGCGAAAGCGUGGGGAGCGAACAGG
rnacentral:rRNA from 1 species